GCGUGCUGCAUUACAGACAUAGAUACAGAGGUACUGCGCGCACGCAGCGCUGGAGGUGCUCAGCUCGUAGCGUGAGAGCCCACAGAUGAAAGGCACUGCUCUUUGUUACCAAACAUCAGUACUCGAGGACUGCUAGCCGCCAGCAGAGAGGUCGGUGGAGGAGUUUUACUUCGUGCCUCCACUGAAGCUUUGCAGUCCACCA
rnacentral:lncRNA from 1 species